AUUGAGAAUCUAAACUUGGCCGCA
rnacentral:siRNA from 1 species